rnacentral:lncRNA from 1 species
UACGGAAGGGAAAUACUUACAGGAGGAUAAUUGGGACAAGUUAGGUCCUUCACUCUCGACGGAACUACUCAUAACCUAAAGCAAUUGUUCAUACUGUAGAACAUUAUAAGACAACCUGGUCCUUUGGUGGAUCCGAUUAAAAGUCUUUAGGCUCUUAGACUUAAAAUUUACAUUAGACCUCCCUGAUUAUGUCGAGAUACAGUUUGAAAAGAACCCACGGAAUAAAAUCGAGCACCAUGUCCAAGUUCCAACAGUUUUUCUCUAUUGAAAAUAAAAAUAAAAAUAAACUAUCAAAUUAGAUACAAGUCGCGCUCAAGAUAACAUUGAAAUCACAUCGUCAUAUACAUGACUAUCUAAAGGAGCCACAAAUUCAAGAAAUAAACUCAGCAAUUUCUGGUCUAAUCAAGAAAAACCAAGCCCGUACAUAGACGUAAUCGGAUUCAUUCUAUCUGAACCAUGCGAUCGAUGCUCAAAUGAGUAGGAAUACAACUCUACGACCAACAAACCAUGAAGGGAACCCAAUCUGCACAACGAGAACUUCUAUCCAUAGUAUAAGCUAACACACUCCAGGUCUCUUCACCUCUCCGGAUCUCUUCCAGCUCAACCACAAACACACCCAUGUACUUCACAACCCCCAUAAAAACACAACCCACAAACAGCGAGAGCUAACAAUACCCAAUCUCAAUCCACAAACAACCCAUAAAGGAAACUUAGGGCGACGCCAUCAAGAAGGGCAGUCCAUGUAACAGAACCACAUCGGGAUAGAGAGAGAGACGAGUACCUUGCUUGUGGCCAGCGGACUUCUCAACAGCGUGACAUUGCGCGCACUUGGUCUUGAAGAUCUUCUCACCGGCCUUCUCGUUACCCUUGGGGGCCUCAGCGAAAGAGGCCAUGGCGGACUAGAAGAAACACAGAGACACACACACACACAUACACUAGAGAUUCAGGACAACCGCAGAAACACGAGACAACCGCAGCAACAACGAGACGCAGCAGAACACAGUCGGAGAGCCCCAAUUAUGGAACCAAACUAAGGCGAAGGCGAAGGACUGGCUUGGCCGAGGGAGGGCAAUGGCUUCCAGGGAACUUGGUCGCCGUUGAUUAGCGCUGCGAUGGUGACGCGGCGAGUUCCGGAGUGCACUCGCGCCGUCAAGAAGCUUCGCGGAGACUGCAACCGGGCUCGCCACCACGUGGACCCUUUCGGCGUCAACCAACUCUCGUGCUUGCCUCCCUUCCACCUCGCUUACGUGGCGCUUUUCAAGAGCUAACGUGGCCGUUUGCGACUGACCACACAUGUUUUCCUUUGUAUUUUACGAGGCGAAUGUUUUCACUUCAAAAGCAUGAACAAUUUCCAUGGUGACCAAAUUAUUGGUGUUUAUCCUUUGUGAUUGUAAUGCUGUUCUUCAAUAUUUUCGGAAAAUUUUAUUUUUCAAUACAAUCUAGAUUAAAUAAAAAGUUUCUAAGGUUGUAUGAAAUUAUUGCAAUCAAUGCACUGAUGUACAAUUAUAUUGUGUUAAUAAAAUCUGUGCCCAAUUCACUUUUCUUUUUAUAACCUUUAACUAUUAAAAAUCUUCAAAAAAAAGUGUCAUAUUGUAAAUCUCUUUUGGAAGUCACUAAUUUUUUAAUACAGAUGUUAAAUUUCUAUAAUCCGUUUAUAUUUUUUUAUGUUGAUUUUGACAUGAAAUGAGAAAAAUAAAAAAAAUAAACUGAAAAUCCUAAAGGUGUAGAGCAAAAAUAUUCUUUUAGUGAAGAAAAAUCCAAAUCAUUGCAAUGACAAUUAAGAAUUUAUGACAUACUAUGCAGAAUCAAUUGUACUUUUUAGCAAUAAUAUGUGAUGAUUUUUUGAUCUUAUUAUUGUUUGUAUUCUUAUAGCACAAUAUAUCUAUCUUUAUUGAUAUGUAUAUAUAUAUAUAUAUAUAUAUAUGUUCCAUCAAUAUAGCAAUUUGUAACAAAAAUAAAUAAGUAAAUAUAAAAAUAAGCAAUUUUAUUUAAUAUAAUUUCUUUAUUUAAAUUCUCCAUAUAUUUUUGAAAAAACCAAGAGAAUUAUCCAUUUAUAUUAAAUGCUUAAUAACUAACAUUUAUAUUUCUAUUAACUUUACAACUUUGGAUUUUAAAUCACUUUAAAAUGUUUAGUCACAAAUUGUGAUAUUCUAAUUAUUUUAGCCAUUUAAAUAUCAAUAUUACAAAAUAGUCUUAAUUUUAUUUUUUCCAUUUUUUAUAAAAAAACAUUGCAAGUCUUGAUUCUAGGUAAAAUCAUUUAUUCAUCUUAUAAGCAUUCAACAAAAACCUUUAAAAAUUCAAAAUCGGCUUUAUUAAAAUCAAUGUCUUUUAUGGUUAUUAAUGUGAUUUUAUCUUUAAAAUAUAUAUAGUAAUAUGAAUUUUUUCAUAAUUUUAAAUUUUCUAUUUAAAUAUAUUUUAAUAUGAAUAUAUUUAAAAUAAACUAAAAUUUAAACAUCAAAAUUUUUAUUCUUUAAUUCAAAUAAUAUUAUAUAUGUAAUUCAAAUAAUAUUAUAAUAUAUAUGUAUAUAUAUAUAUAUAUACAUAUGAUAUUAUAAUAUAUAUGCUUAAAUAAAGUAAGUAUGAUGAAUAUAUUGUUAGAGACAUAUAUAUUUACUCUAAUAAUUAUUUAUAUAAUAUAAAUAGAUAGAAGUAGGUAAAAAUAGAUUAAUUUGAUAAUAUCUUCUAAAAAUGCUUUGUAAAAGCUUAAUAGAUGUGAUUUCACAUUUAUACGUGUUUGUAGGUGAUUAAUAGGUUGAACACUUAGCCAACAAGUUAGCCACGUAUCAUAUAUGUUAAAAGUUUUUGGUAUAAAUUAAUGAAAUGGCACACAUAUAAGAAACUUGUCUUAUAAUUUAAGGUACAUGUCUUGCAAGUUAUACACAUAUCAAAGGUCCUAGAGAACAUCACCAUGUAGCUCUUAGUUACAUAAUAUACAAGGAUGUAAGAGUGAAGCCUUUUUUACUUUUGAUUUUUUUUUUCUUCUAGUUUAAUUUCAAGACUAUUUGGAUUUUUAAUCUUAAGCAAUAGCCAUUCUAGUUUCUUCUUUAAUAUAUAUAUUUUUGUAUUAUUAUUUUGUUAUCUUUCUUUGAUACCUAUCUCACUUGUUUACUUAUCUUUUUUAAAUUCUUGUUCUUGACAGAUUGACGAAGAUACAAUUAUAAUAUUAGAGCUUUGUCUUUUUUUGAUUAAGAAUAGAUUAUUCCUCCGAGUUUGUCCAGCUAUAAUAGAAAUCAUGCAAUUAGAACCUUAUAUAAUACCUAGUAAAGAUUUUAUUUUCUCUUCAAAAUCCUCUUCUUGUUUUACAAUAGAUGUUAGUUUAAGAUCUAAAUAUUUCAAAGCUUUUGUUUUGCUAGAUUUAAGAGCCUCAAUUUGUUUUUUAGAUAAAAAAUUUGUUAAAAGAUAUAGCAUUUUAUUACUUAAGGAAACUAAAUUUGUUCAUGUAAAAGUCAUAGAUGGUUGUUUAUUGUCUUCUAGAGAUGUUAUUCAUGAAAUCCUUCUUAUAGAAAUAGCCACUAAUGGUCAUAAUAACUUAAUAAGAUUUGAAAUUAUUAAAUCUUCUUCUAUUCUAACUAUUUUAGAUUUAUUGUAGCUAAAAAAAUAUAAUCCUUAAAUAAAUUGGAUUUCUCAUUGUCUUAAUUUUUUAAAAAAUAUACCUAAGAGUGUUGUUAAUCAAACAAAAAGUCAUUAGUUUAGUGCAGCCAAACAUAUAUUUAUUGAUACUAGAGUUUUUUUGGAUGUUAUAGAAAAAGUGUCUCCUUGUAUUAUUUAUACUACAUUUGUUUCUAAUAGUAGAAAGACUUCAAGUGGCAUUCUAAGCCAAUAUCAAGAUUAUCAAGAUAUCUAUGAAAAUAAGAAUAUAGAUACUCUUCCAAAAAAUUAUUCUAAAUUGACCUUCAAGAAGAAGUUCAACUGCCAUUUGGACCAAUCUAUAGUUUAUCACAAAAUAAAUUAGUUGAAUUCAAGGAAUAUAUUGAAGAAAAUUUGAUGAAGAAUUUUAUAUGCCAUUUAAAAUUUCCAAUAGGAGCUCCAACAUUAUUUAUGAAGAAAAAAAAAUUAAUCACUAUGGAUUUGUGUAGAUUAUUGAGGACUUAAUAAGAUCACCAUCAAGAGUAGGUACCUUCUACCUUUGAUAUCUAGAUUUCUUGAUUAAUUGAAUAAAGCAAAAAUUUAUAUAAAAAUAGAUCUAUAAAAAGUAUACAAUUUAAUAUGCAUCAAAAAAAGAGAUGAAUAGAAGAUUGUAUUUUGAAUUAAGUAUGGACAUUUUGAAUAUAAUAUCAUGUCCUUAGGACUUACAAAUACACUUGCAGCUUUUCAACAUCUAAUGAAUGAUGUCUUUCAAAAUUUUUUAGAUAAUUUUAUUAUUUUUUAUUUAAAAAAUAUUUUAAUCUACUCUAAGAAUAUAAAAGAACAUGAACUCUAUAUUUGUUAUAUUUUAUAAAAAGUAAAAGAUAUAAGAUUCUAUGUCAAGGUAAAAAAGUAUAUAUUUUACACUACUUAAGUCAACUUCUUAAGAUACAACAUUUCAAAUGAUGGACUUAUGAUAGAUCUCAAGAAAUUUUAAACUAUCAUGGAUUAAAAGAUUUUAAAUAUAUAUAUAUAUAUAUAUAUAUAUAUAUAUAUAUAUUGAAUAUUUUUUUAAGUUUAUCAAUUAUUAUUGGAUUUAUAUUAAGAAUUUUUUUUAAGUAGAAUAAAGAAAAAAAAAGUAGUAUUUGAAGCUUCAAACAUAACUUUUGUUUUUGCACCAAUCUUAUAUUGUAUCAACUUUUUCAAGCCAUUCUUUACAAAAACAUAUGCAUUGGACUUUAUUUUAGAUGCCAUAUAGUAAAAAAUGAGAGCAAAUGAUAAUAUUAAAAUUUCUUAAAUAGAAAGCUAUUGAAUGAAGUUUAUAUUUGAUUUCAUUUUUUAUUAUUAAUAAUCAAAAUAAACUAUAAGAUCUACAAUAAAGUAAAUUAUGGAUUACAAAAACCUUGAAUAUUUCAUGUGAGUACAUAUUUUGAAUUGUUGCCAAAGUCAUUAGAAUAUGUCCUUAUCAAGAUUCAAAUUUAAGAUUAUUUAUUGACUAUGAAAAUAAUAAUAUUUAUCAUAUGUCCUUUCUAAAAGAUAUUAUUUUGCAUUAAAGCAAGAUAUACAAAUUUUGAACAAUAAUAGAUCAUUUUUUUGAAAUUAGAGCAAUUUCAUUUUUAAGCAAUGAAAUAAAUACUAACUAUUGAUGUAGCUUUUUUUUUUAGGUAUGUUUAGUCAAGUAUGUCCAUUAAUUUUCUUGUUUGUAAUAUUAAAAAAAAACUAUAAAAUUUCAUAAUAUUUCUAAAUUUUAAUUUAAGCAUAAUUUUUAUAUUUUGAGGGAUAGUUAUAUAUUUUAAAAGAUGAAGCAUAAUUAUAUAUUCUUCAAGCUCGUUACAACUUCUUAGCAAUUAGAUAUUUUGGAUAAAAUAAGAUUUUAGAACAAAUAUCUAAAGAUUUUUAGUAGCUUCAAAUAUAGAAGGCAAUUAAAAAAUUUGUAUAAUCUUGUGACAUUUUUUUAAGAUAAUAAACUCCUUAUUAUCAAUCUUAUAUAAUUCUUCACCUGUUACUCAAUCUACAAUAAAUAUGGUCUUUUCUAUCUAUAGAUUUUAUGAAAAAUAUUUUAGUUUUAAAUUCAUAUGAUUCUAUAUUUGUGAUAGUAAAUUUUUUUACUGAGAUUGCACAUUUUAUACUAUAUACAAAAUCUAUUAUAUAUGAAGAAACAACUAAAUUUUUUCUUAACAACAUAUAUUACUAUCAUGGAUUAUCAAAGAAUAUUACAUCAAAUAAGAAGACUCAAUUUGUAUUAAGGUUUUAGAGAAUUUUUUAUAAGAUUUUAAAAGUAGACAUAAAAUUAUUUUUGAUUUUCCAUCUUCAAAUUGAUGGACAAACAAAUCACAUAAAUCAAGUUUUGAAGUACUAUUUAAUAUGUAUUAUUAACCACCAACAAGAUGAUUGGACAAUUCUUUUGUCAUUGGUACAAUUUGCUUGUAAUAACAUGAUAUACUCAUCUACUCAAAAAACAUCUUUUUUUACUAAUUAUGAUUAUAAUUUAUAACUUGAUACUUUUGACUUUUCAAAAGUUGAUAAUCUUAUGAAAGAAGAUUUGGAAAAUUAUUUAUUUGAGCUCAAAAAAGAUUUAUACGGAUUCAUAUUGGAAGGAAUAACUUUAAUAUCAUGUUUGCAAUAAGAUAUGAUUACUUCAUUAUAUUAUCUAGACUAUUUAUCUUUGUCACAAGUUCUAUUAUUAUAGAUUUGAAUCAUUUCAUAUAUGUAAAUAAUUCAAUUCAAUUGCUUAUCAAUUAUAUUUAUCAAAAUCUAUGAAGAUACAUCUUGUAUAUCAUAUAUCUCUACUUGAGCUAUAUAAAAUAACAAAUAUUCCAAGAAGAAUACAAAUCCUAUUCUUUCCUAUUAAAAAAGAUAAUAAUGAAGAAUUUAAAAUAUAAGAAGUCUUAAAUUCAAGGCAAUGCUAUUUUAAGUUAGAAUAUUUUAUUUAUUAAUGCAAAUAUGAUAUUAGUGAAUGCACAUAGAAGUUAGUAAGAAAUUAACUUUUUUUAUAAUAUAAUAAAAAAAAUUAAAGCUUUUCAUCAAUAAUAUAUAAAAAAAUUAAAAUAAAGAAUUAAAAAAUUCCUUACUAUAAAAUAAAGAAAGCUUAAUAAAGAUUGUAUUUCAUAUUUUAUCAUUCAUUAUGAAUUUUUUGUAUUUGUGAUGCUAAUAAGAUAAAAAAACCAAGAAUUAGUAGAUUCAAUUCAAAAACUUUCAUUUGCUGACUUAUCAAAUAAGACAUUAUAAUUAUUGCAACCUUCAAGACGAUAUACUCGUGAUGAAGAACCUCAAGAAUAACUUGUUCUUCUUCAAAUAAAUGGCAAGAUACAACACGUUUAGUAUCACAACCUUAAAAGCAACUUAUGAUAUUUGAUAAUUUUAUUGAAAGUAAGAAUUAUUUUUGAUAUUUUAAAAAAAUAUUUUAUUUGAAAGAUAUUAAUAAGGCCUUAAAAAUAAUUGAAUAUCAAGGUGAUCUUUUUGCUCUAAAAUAAGACAUUAUCACUAAUUGAGAUGACCUAUCAACUACCUUCAAGUAGAACAAAAAUUAAAACAUAUAAUAAAUAUAAUUUGCCACAACUUGAAUUUCAUCAAUAUGUGAUUAUUGUUCCUUGUGGAACUUAAUCCAAGAAUGAGGCGAUAAUGCCAAUGACAUAUAUAUUUAUUCUAGUAAUUACUUAAAUAAUAUGAAUAGAUAGAAAUAGCUAAAAAUAGAUUAAUUUUCUAAUAUUUAAUAAUUUUUUUUUAAAAGCUUCAUAGAUAUGAUUUCAUCUUCAUACAUGUCUAUAGAUAAUAGAUAGGUGGAACAAUUGGCUAAUAAAUUAGUCAUGUGUCACAUAAGUAGUAGCUUGUGAUAGAAGCUAAUUAUUUAAAGUACAUAUGUAAUAAAGCAAGACCAGUCUAGCUUGAAAGUCUAAGUGUCUUUUAAUCCAUAACAAGAUAAAACCUCACCACAAAAUAAGACAAAAUAAAUUAAAAAAAAAUUGAAUAGAACUAAACAUAAUGGGAUACAAAAGACAAAACUAUGCAAACAAAAAUAUAACCAAACAAAAUUAAACAAGAAGAUACAAAACCAAACUUUACUAAGAGAAAAGAUUUAAAGUUAUAACUGACCAGAUGUCCAAAUUGAUCUAGCUGGUCUUAUAUAUACUUUGUUCUAUUAUCCUAGACUUUCUAUAAUAUUCUUAGAUAAUGGAUCUAACUUUGAUAAUUGUCUUAAAUUCCUUGUAGAAGUUUCUAUAGUAUACCUACCUAGAUAACCACCCUAAGUUCUUUUUAGAAUGUUCCACGAUGGAUCCUACAUAGUCUAUUAAUCAAGUUCCAAUUCUAGAAACUUCCAUAACUUUUUAAACAUAAUUCCAACUAUCUAAUUUUAUGUGUCAAUAACAACUUUUUUUUUUUAUUUAUAUCUUGUUACAAUUAAUCUUCCUCUACUAAUGCAAAAAGGUCUUCAUUUUGCUAUCAAUGGUGUCAUACUGUAAAUACUUAAAGUAUGUAAAAAUUAGUUAGAACAUAUAAUAUGUUCAUAAGUCUCAGUGUGUAAUAGAAUGGUUAAUAGAUUAAUUUAAAGAAAGUGGAUAUAAGCAACAUUAUUUUGAAUUUUAUUUAUUUUGAUUAUGGUAUUUAAAUAUAUAUAUAUAUAUAUAUAUAUAUAUAUAGAUAGGACCUAAAUAUUUAGUAUGAAGCCUUAGGAGAAGGCAGAAGCCUAAAGAUGAAAAUUUAAACUAGUAGGAGGCUAAUUGAGAGGAAUAAAAGUAAGGCAUGGUCAGAUGAAGGCAAGGAAUGGAGAACUUCAUUCCUAUUAGUCGAAUACCAUGCCCAAUGGACUUUGAGGAGAAUGCCGACGACCUUAAUGAGGGUUUUGGUGACUUCAAAGAAGGCAUUUGAGAAUUAAAAGAUGAGAUUGUAAAGUUUACAGUUUGGACUACAAUUUGUAUAUAAAAUUUAGAGGAUUUGGAAUCAGGAUAAAGAAGAUAUAGCCAUUUGAAGUUAAGGUGUUAAUUUAAGAUAUGCUAUUAUUUUUUUGAAAAUAUGAAGAGUUGUAUGACAGCUUUUGAAGAUUAGAAGGUGCGAUUAUAAUAGCGAUUUCAAGGCCUACAUCUUUUAUGAAAGAAUUGUUCCUUUUGGAGUUUAUAUGAAGUACUUAUAAGGAGUUGAAGGUGGCGCUUCUAAAUCAAAGGCAAUAAGUAAGCAAUUUUAUUUAAAGUAAUGGUUGGAGCCAUAACUUGAAUUUUUGAACAAAUUUUUGGCUCAAAAUUUUUAAAAAAUAAAACAUUUUGUAUUAUAAAGCUAUAUAUAAAAAUUGUGUGGCAUUUGAGCUUUUAUUUUGUGAGAUAUAAAGAAAAUUUUACAUAAGGAUAUAAAGACAAGGAUUUGAAGUGACUGUAAGGAUUUUCAAAAUAUCUCAAUAUCCGCAAAAAAAUUGUAGUUGAAAUUUGUUGUAGAAGUUGAUAAGAAUACAUAAGUACUUUAUAUAAAAUUUGAAUAAGUUUGGAUUUUCGGAUCAAGAGACAUGAGGUAUUGAAGUUCAAGAAAAUUUCCACAUAAGGGUAUGCAAGGUUUUAGAGGAUAUUAUCAUAUUUUGGGUGUUGUUGGUUACUUAAGGCUUACAUAUUUGGUGUAAUUGCUCCAAAACGAAAAUUUUAUACAUAAACUUAGGACUUUCUUUAUUUUGAAGCUUUAUUGAGCAAUUAGUGACAACCAGUAGCCCAAUGCUUUCUUGAAGCAAACUCUUUCUAUCCCGACAACGGUAUCUCUAAAUUAUCUAUUGACAGUGGAUGAAGUUUUUGGUGAAUUAUUAUAUUGCAUCGUGGAUGGAAUAACCUUUUUAAAGAGCUUUUUAAAGAAGUUGUGGAUGUUCAUUGCUAUAGUGAAGGUGGCAAUGCUCUAAAAUACUAUCUACUUCAUAUUCUUAUUAGUCAUUAACUAUAACUACAAGUGUUAGUAGUUAAUAUCAAUCUAUAAAGUAUUUUGGCUCGGUAUGAAAUUCCUUUAGUUACAAAAUGUGGAUGACCAAAUAGACCAAAAUAUGUCAUAGUGUCAAAGACAUGAAUCUCGAAGAAAGAGAAUCCUCAAAAAACUCUUCUAUUACUAAAGAGAAUUAGAAAAUCUCUCAAAAGGUGAUGUAAUAUUAACUAGAACGGCUAUUGCCAAAAACAAGAAGACUAAAAAGUCUCGAAACAAGACUAAGCUUAGAAAAGCGUUGACAAGAGUGAAAAAGGCUUCACUCUUGCCUCCAUAUAUACUAUCUAAUUAAGAACUAUGUGGCGAUGUCCUUUAAGACCUCCAACAUGUAUUGACUUUGCUAGCCACAUAUCUUAUCUUGCAAGACAAGUUAUCUAUGUAUGCGCCACGUAAUUGGCUUAUUCUAUAAGCUACGAAUACAUGGUUAGCUUUUUGGCCAAGUUUCUAACCUACAAACACAUCUAAAGUCAAAACCGCGUCUAUGAAGCUUCUAAGAAGCUUUUCUAGAAGACUUUAUGAAAUUAUUCUAUAUUUACCUACUUUUACUUAAUCAUAUAAGUAACUAUUGAGGUAAAUAUGUAUAUCUGUGACAUUAUAUCUCUUUCUAUGGACGAGUUCCAUGAGAAGCAAUCUUCAUAUGUUGAAGAGGUCUAAGAUGCAAGAAAUUGUAUUUACUAUAUACUCCGAACUUUGCUCUCUUCAAAGAUGGUUGAUAGGUCCUCUCAACAACCUAUAGUGCCCCAUAUCAGGGUAAGAAGACCAUCCUGUUAUUUGAUCAUUAUUGAGGCUUUCAUAACUUCCUUCAAAUAACACAUUUGGAACAUCGUCAAGAAUUGUUUCUACCUCUAAUAAAAUCACUAAACAUUGAGAGUUUCUUCCAAGGUUGUAAUACCAAAUAUGUUGUAUCUCGCCAUCUAUUCGAAGAAAGACAUGUCAUUCUUGAGGAUCUUCAUUUUGAUUCUAUCGUCUUGAAGAUUGUGAAAAUUACAAUAUCUCGUCCGAUAAGUCCGUAAAUAAAAGCUCUAGAGUUGAAUCUACUAGUUGUUGAUGCUCCAUCUCAUCACAAAUACACAGAAGUUACAAUAAAAGAUAGAAGGUAGAAUGUUAUUUUCUUUUGAUCUUGUUUCUUUUAUAGCAAAGAUUUGCUAUUCUUCAUCUUGAUUUUGAUGGAUGAUGUUGAUGAAAGACUUCAACUUUCUUUGCUGCAUUUGUAAGAUUCUUUGAUGGCUCCCAUAUGCAUUCACUAAUAUCAUAUUCGUGCCAAUGAAUAAGAUAUUCCAAUGUAAUUUGGCCCCACCUUGAGUCUAAGACUUCUUCCACUUCAAAGUCUUGGUUAUUCCUUGCGAUAAGCAUCUAUGUUGGUCUUUUGUCGUUCUUGAGCUUCCUUUAAUUGUAUCUUCAUUGUUGUAUGUAGCUUUGACAAGCGAUUUGCUAAAUCUUUUUUUGGAAGAUUAUCAACUUUUGAAAAGUCAAAAAUAUCAAGAUGUGGAUGUUAACCAUAAUUUACAAAGAAAGAUGUUUGUUGAAUUGAAGAAUGUACCAAAUUAUUAUAUGCAAACUCUGCCAAUGGUAAAAGAGUUGUUUAAUCAUCUUGAUGAUAGUUGAUGGUACAUCUCAAAUACUGCUCCAAAACUUCAUUUACUUGUUUUGUUUGUCUAUUAAUUUGAGUAUAAAAAGCUGGAAAAAGCUUUAUAUCCAUCUUUAGAACCUUAAAUAGGAUUCUCCAAAAUCUUGAUACAAAUUGAGUCUCCUUAUCCGAUAUAAUAUCCUUUGACAAUCCAUGAUAGCGAUAGAUAUUGUCAAUGAAAAAUUAAGCUGUUUCUUCACAUGUAAUAGAUUUCGUACAUGAUACAAAAUGUGUCAUCUUGGUGAAACGACCUACUAUUACAAAUAUAGAGUCAUAAGAACCUGAGAUUGGAAGAUCCAUGAUGAAAUCCAUAAAAACAGAAGACCAUGGUUGUUCUCGAAUAGAUAAUGGUUGAAGAAGUCCGUAAGGUCGAUGACGAGGAAUUUUAGAUCUUGAGCAAACAUCACAAGAUUGUACAAAAUCUUUGAUUGCCUUCCACAUUUGCGGCUACCAAAAAUCUCUGGAUAUUAAUUCCAAAGUUUUAUUGUACCCAAAAUAUCCUGUUGUUGGAAAGUCAUGAUGAGCUUGAAGAAGACAUAAUCAAGCUUCACCUUUUGGAACAUAUACGCAUCCUUCAAAAUAUAAUAGAUUAUUCUUGAAUUCAAACUUGGAAGUAUCAUGGGACUUAGAGGAAGUAUCCUUGAUAUCCUGAAUAAGAGGAUCAAAUGACAUACUUGAUUGAAUUUGCUUUCGAAAUGUUGAAUCAAUAGUCAAUGUUGAUUUUAUAGCUCGAAGAUGAAAAUGCUCGGACUUCAAAAAAAUUGAUCUUUGUUAAUCAAAAGAUACAUCUCUUUCUUUUGGUACAAGAUAAGAACGUCUAAAAAGAGCGUUUGAUAGACCUUGUUGUUUUUUGGGUCGAUAAGUGAUCUUAAAAUUACAUCUAGAUAAAGACAUGCUCUAACAUGCUUGACGAUGAUUCAAGAUACAAGCUGACAUGAAGUACAUGAGGUUCUUAUAGUCUAUAUAUAUAAUAAUUGGACUUGAGGUGCCUUCUAGAUAAUGACUCUAUUCUUAAAAUGAAUCUAUGAUUGUAAAGGGUUCUUUAUUAUAGAUCUCAUAAUUAAUCUCGACUGCUGAAAAUUUUCUCGAAUGGAAAGCUAUUGGAUGGAGUUUGUCAUCUGUUCCUAUUUGUGACAACAUGGCACCUAUACCAAAAUCUAACGCAUUUGUUUCCAUAAAAAAUACUUUCGAGAAGUCAACGCAAUAUAAGAUUGGUAUAAAAAUAAAUUCCUUCUUUAAAGCAUCAAAUGAUGCUUUUGCUUCUUUAUUCCACUCAAAUUUAUCUUUACAAGUCAAACGUGUAAGUGGAGCUACAACUUGAAAAAAAUUCUUGAUAAAGAUUCGAUAAUAAUUAGCAAAGCUUCAAAAGCAUUGCACAUCUCAUAUUGUUGGUCAAGUAGUCUUGAAAUCAAAGGCAAAAGAUACCUAUUUUUUAUGGUGAUCUUGUUGAAUCCUUAAUAAUCCACAUAUAUUUACAGAGAUCCGUCUUUCUUCUUCACAAAUUUUAGAAUGGCAUAUGAAGUUCUUUGCCAAAUUCUCAUCAAUGUACUUUUUUAAUGCAGCCAACUCAUUUUGCGACAAGCUAUAGAUUGAUCUAAAUGGUGGUUAAGCUCCUUCUUACAAAUCAAUUGAACAAUCAUAAGGUCGAUGCUUGGAGAGAAUAUCUACAUUUUUCUUUUCAAAAACGUCUUGAAAUUCUUGAUAUUGCUUACGAAUACCACUCGACGUUGUUUCACCAUUAGAAAUAGGUGUAGCAUAUAUAGCAAAAGAUGAUCCUUCUUUUGCAGCAUGCAUGAAGGCUUUUGCAUCUAUUAGUAAAGGUUUGGACAUAUUGGACUUAUGUACUUCUACUUUGUUAAUGCAAUCUUGGAUUAUACUAUCAGAAAAGUUAAGGUUAGGAGAAAUUGAAUCUAUUUGAGGGUUAUAUUUUUUUAGCCAUGAUAAUCCUAAAAUAAUCAGAUUAGAGAGAGAUUUUAUUACAUUAAAUACUACUACGCUGUUAUGAUCUUUAAUUUCUAUAUCUAAAGGAAUAGUUUCAUGGAUAAUAUUUCUAAAAGAUAACAAACAACCAUCUAUGACUUCUACAUGUACGGAUUUAACUUUCUUCAUUAAAGGUAUUUUUUGAUUUUUGGCAAAAUCUUUGUCUAUAAAACAUGUUGAGGCUCAUGAAUUUAACAAGGUAAAGAUAUUGUGAUUAUUAGGUCCUAAAUAUACUUCUAUUAUAAAACAAGGUAAGAGAUCUGAGGAGAAGAUAGGACCUUUACUAGGUGUUGCAUAUGAUUCUAGCCGCACGGUUCCUAUUGUAGCUGGAGAAACUAAUUUUCCGACACAUUAUCUUCUUUGGUAAUUGUGCUCCUCAUUUUGUAAUUGUGUUAGUUCUAUAGACAAUAUUAAGCAGUGAACUUAGCUUCUACACAAUAUAAACAUAACCCCUCUUAGCGACAUCGAGUCUUUUCCUGCUUUGUAAGAAGUUUAAAACAUAUUAUAUCAAUUUAUAUUGAUUUUGGCUUUGACGAAUAUGUUUUAGCAAACUUGGGAGUUGUCGCCAUUACUUGACUUCUUCUUCUCUAACCAAAUCUUUGUUCUUGAUGCCUUUUAAAUAAAUGAUCAUUGCAUGUAAUGGCUUGAAUAAUAAAUUAUUCUAAAGAUUCUAUUUUUGGCAUUGUUAAUAACAAAUCUUUGACGCUAUCCUUCAAUCUAUAUCAAAAUUGGUUGAUAAGUACUUUGUCGUUCCAGUCCACAUCACAAGUAAGAUUUUAGAAUUUGGUAGCAUAUGUAGUGGUUGAUCAUGAUCCUUGUCAUAAAGAUAAAAGCUUGGUUUCUGCUACUCAUUUUCCAUCACUUUCUCCAAAUGUGGUCGUAAAUACUUCUAAGAAUGAAUUCAAAUCAAAAACGAGUCGUGAAUCUUUUUCCAUUAAAGGUAUAAACCAAGAGAGAGUACUUCUUGAUAAUAAUACAUCUAUGAAUUCAAUUUAGAUAAAUCCAUCAGAAUAUUGGAAAGGGUGUAGCUUUAGAUAGAACUUGACUUGUUACAAAAGUCCUUGAAAUUUUGAUCUUAUUCCAUCAAACUUCUCAGGCAUAUUAAUCCUUGUCCCUGUCAUACUUGUAGUAGCAAAACUCCCUGGAUUUGAUUGUGACAUUGAUCUACUUGCUUCUUUCAACUGUACAUCUUCUUGCCACAGACUUUGAACUUCUUCCAAAAGCGUAGGCAUAGUAUUUCCAUGAUUUACGUUGGAAAUAUGUAAAAUUUGUACUCUUAGAGUGUUGACAAGCUUAUGAAGAUCUACAAUAGUUACAAAUCUAUUGUCACUUCCAUUGAGAGUAGCAUCCAUAAUCUUUCCUUCCAUACACAAGUCAAGUGAAUUCAAAAGUUAAAAUAGAGGAAGGUAAUCUGUAACCUCUAAAAAAAAUCCUAUAAAGAGGGAUAAUCCACUCUUUUUAAGAAAAAGACUAGUGUUAGAAAACAAGAUUUUUUGUUUAAAGAUGAGUAGUCCACAACCUUCAAAAUACAACAAUAGAAGUGAAAUAAUCUACUCAUUUCUAAAAUAAGAUAGAAACAAUAUGUUAGCACUCUUGUCAAACUGUCAAGGAUAUGAAUCUCGAAGAAAGAGAAUCCUCAAUACACUCUUCUAUCACUAAAGAGAACUAGAAAGUCUCUCAAAAGGUGAUGUAAUAUUAACUAGAAUGGCUAUUGCCAAAAACAAGAAGACUAGAAAGUCUUGAGACAAGACUAAGACUAGAAAGGCAUUGACAAGAGUGAAGAAGGCUUCACUCUUGCCUCCAUAUAUACUAUCUAACUAGGAGAUACGUGGCAAUGUCUUAUAUGACCUCCAACAUGUAUUGUCUUUGCUAGCCACAUGUUUUAUCUUACAAGGCAAGUUAUCUAUGUAUGCGCCACAUAGUUGGCUUGUUCCACAAGCUAUUACAUGGAGGUAACUUAUUCCACAAGCUAUCAAUACAUGGUUAGCUUUUUGGCUAAGUUUCUAACCUACAAACACAUCUAAAAUCAAAACUGUAUCUAUGAAGCUUUUAGGAAGCUUCUCUAGAAGACUUUAUAAAAUUAUUCUAUAUUUACCUACUUCUAUUUAAUUAUAUAAGUAACUAUUGAUGUAAAUAUAUAUGUCCAUGACAGGUAGAAGCUCAAGGUAGUAUGCAACAUCAAAAAUCACUGUAGAAAUGCAGAAAGAUCGAAGUCAUCAAAUUGCUAGUUUAUGGAUUUGGAUUGAUAUAGCAAGUGGUAAGUUGGUGUUGGAAAGUAACAGUUGAUUAUCCUUCUGAAAGAUCUUAUAUUCCAGUGGUUAUCUCCAUAUUGCUUCUAUCAUUUUUAAGCGAUAAGAAGGUAGUAUCAUGCCUCUUAAAAGGUCAUUAUGAGCCGUUGUAUAAAUUCCUCUGUUAUCAAAUUAUUAGUAUCAAUGAAACAAUAAAAAGUUGCUAGCAUAACUAGAUACUAAUUGGUGUUAAAAAAAUGGUGAAUGACCAGUAUUUGCUUGAAUGCUAUUAUUGUAAGAAAAUUUUAAGUAUGUCAAGUAUUCAUCAGAGUCAUUAUGAUGAACUAUCACAUAUAUCCAUAGCAUAUCUUUUAAGGUCUGAUUUACAUGCUCUAUUUGUCCAUCUGUUUUGAGAUGGAAGGCUAUAAAAUUGAUAAGUUAUGUACCGAGUAACUUGAACAAGCCUUGCCAAAAGCUUCUUGUGAAGCACAAAUUUUGAUUAAAAAUGAUAAUAUGAGAUAAAGUAUAGUAAUAAAAGAUAAUAUCAAAGAAGAUUUGUGCAAGUAUUGGGGCAUUAAUAUUUGAGUGCAUUGCGGCCAAGUAAAGUUGCUUCAAGAAUUGAUCCAUAAAGAUAGCAACUACAAUGUGAUUAUGAGGUAUUUGUGAGAAAUUCAUUCUGUGAUUUAUAAUUUCUUGCUUCCAAUGUACCAUAGAUAAUAGAAUUGGUUGCUAAAGUCUAAUAGAUACUGCGUUGCCUACUUUAUUAUAUUGACAUGCCUCGCAGAAGUACAAAAGCUCAAACAUCACAAUCCAAACUUGUCCAAAACCAUGUCCUUGAGAUUUGUUCAUUAGUCUUCUCUCAUCUUAAAUAUCUAGAUAUUGGACUCUCAUAUAUCUCUUGAAGUAUGUGUGUCUAGACUAUAGCAUUAUGAGGUACAUAAAUUUGUUUUUUGAAAUAAAACAAGCCAUCACUAAGUGUAUAAUCUUAAUGCCAUGUAUCGCCCACCUUCAGCCGAUUGCUAACCAUUUAGAAAUAAGUAUCCCGGUGUAUAGCUUCUUUUUAUUGUACCUCUUUGGUUAUGUUUGAAAUGACACUUUUAAUAGUAGCAACUUUUGUCUUCUCUUUCAAUUUGACCUUUAAAUCUGGUCUCCGCAACUAGCUAUUUAGCAUAGUAUGUUGUCAUCCUCGCUCGCACUGAAGUUGGAUAUCCAAAAGCUAUGACUAUUCUUCUCAAUGAUGAUGUUGUGAUUUCAUAUUUUUCAUAUGCAAAUUGUAUAGUAAGAGCCAAUGGUUAGUUCAAACAAGCAUUGGUUCUUCAACAAAUAGUGUUCCUACACCUUUGUGGCAUGUAUAAUUUAUUUAUUAUACCUCUAUUUCAUACCACCAAUUAGAAGCAACUCUUAAUUGAAGCCAUCUUGUAAUUUGGGUUGAAAGAGAAAUUUAUCCUCACAACAUAUAUAAAACUUCUCUUACAAGUUAAGACAUAUUUUGCAAAUUGAAUAUGUAUCAGAGGUUCUAUAGGAUAUCACUAUGUAGCUUCUAGUUAAAUAGUAUAUAUAGAAGCAAGAAUGAAGCCUUCUUUACUCUUGUCAAUCACUUUCUUACUUUUAGUCUAGUUUCAAGGAUCUCUAGAUUUUUAAUCUUGACAAAUAGCCAUUCUAAUUUCUUCUUGAAAAUACAUAUUUUCUUAUUAUUAUUUUCUCAUCUUUCUUUAAUACUUAUGUCACUUGUUUAUUUCACUUCCUUAAAUUUUUGACCUUGAAAAUAAGAAUAUGUAAUUAGUGUUGAUUAAUCUUAAAAAUGAUAAUUUCUAUCAUACCAAUAAUAUGUCUAUUUUUAUAAUUAUUAAUAACUAAUAAUUAAUAUUUUUUAUAUAAUAAUUAAUACUAAAUAAAUAAUAGAAAUGAUAUAUAUGUAAUAUUUUAAAUAUUUAUUAUAUUUAAUAUUAAGAUAAAAAACUAUUUAUUCUCUAUUAUGAAUGUGGAAUGUUAAUUAUUAAAGAAUAAAUUCUAUUUUUAAAGAUUUAAUAUUAUAUUACAAAAUCAAUGUAAAGUAAAUAAAAUUUAUAAAAUUUUAAUUUCUAUAAUGAUGUAAAAUACAACUAUUUAACAAAAUAUCCUUAAAAUAUAUUUGUUAAAAAAAUAAAUUGAAAUAUAUAAUAAGAAUAGAACUUACAAAAAAUCCAUCAUUUUCCAUGGAAUAAUAGUUAAAAAAUAAUAGCUUCAACAUUUAAAUAUUAAACAUAUCCACUUAAAAAAAUUGAAUGUGCAUAUAUAUAUAUAUAUAUAUAUAUAUAUGCUUGGAUCAUUUUUUAAAUUAAUAUUCUCAUAAAAAUAUCAUUUAUAAAUUUUAAAUAUAAAUAUUAAAAUAAUAUUGUAUUAUCAUAGUCUGAUUUAAACAUGUAAAAAAUAAUAUACUAUAAGUGAGUAUUUGUAUUUAAAAGACAAGAUAAAAGGUCACAACUUUAAAAUCUUUUGGUUGAUUGAAAUUAAGAAGCCACAUAUAGUUGACUUGUUGUUAGGGACAUAGUCCUUAGAACCUUCUAGAAGCAAGUCUCUGGAACCUUCUAGAAGCUUCUUAGUUGGUGGAAGUUGCUUGAGAAGCUUCCUAGUUGGUGGAAGUCGCUUGAGAAGCUUCCUAGUUGUUAGAAGUUGCUUGAGAAGCUUCCUAAAUAGGAAUAUAUAUUGGAAUUGAAGUUGAAGAGUUCUUCAGUCUCGACAACACAUUUCUUGGAGCUCUAGCUCACCUCUUUGGUGUUGUUCUUGUAUUCAUCUGAUUAAUCUAGUUCUUGCCAGUUCUUCUUGAACUUCUUGUUAGAUCUUGAGCCUGUAUUUCUAUGUCCGAUACACUUUGUUGAGACUUCACUCACCUCAGAUAUCAAAGCUAGUUUCUUCCUCGUUAGAGUGUGGAUUAUUCCUCUGCUUGAAGGUGUACUAGCAUUUUAGAGGUUGCGGAUUACCCUCCUCUAAACUGAUACUUCUUUUGUUAUAAUAUUGAAGUCUUAUUCUUCUUGGAGAGAGUAGAUUAUCCCUACUCUUGAAGCUCUUAAGGCGUUUUAGAGGUUACGGAGUACCCUCUUCUAAACCAAUAUUGUCUUCUUGUAGAAUCAUUUCUGUCCUUCUCUUAAAAUGGCUGGAGGCGAAGACAUUAGUAUGACAGAAAGUUCGGAGUCCAAGUUGGAUGCUAUCAUGAAUGCCCUCGCUACGUUAUCGCAAAGAACUACAGAAAUUGAAGGAGUCGUGGCAAAGCUUCAUAAUGAUGGAGCAUCUAGGAUGGCACAAUCUUCGUUGCACCAGCCUCAAACUUCUACACUUGGAGAAGCAACUUUGCCUCAAGUUUGACAAGCACCGUUAAUUCUACAACAUAAGGAGCCCCGAGUUAGCCUUCCGGACAAGUUCAAUGGCACGCAUUCCAAGUUUCGAGGAUUUGUCAAUCAAAUCAGGUUGAUAACAGUUUUAUAGCCCAAACGCUAUCCAACGGAAGAGUCACAUGUUGGCCUUGUUGGAACCUUACUUACAAGGCAAGCUCUAUCAUGGUUUGCUCCAUUGUUUGAGAAACGAUCAUCCAUACUGAACAACUUUGAAACCUUUUUGGAGGUAUUUGUGGAAGCAUUUGAUAAACAUGACAAGGUUCGAUGGACUACAACAAAGAUCCAGUUACUACGACAAGGGAUGCACUCUACAUCAGUCAAUGCAUCGGAUUUCAGGCAACUAGCAUGCGACAUUAAUUGGGAUGAAGAAGCAUUGAUGAGUCAAUUCUAUUGGGAUUUAAGGGACGAUGUGAAGGAUUUGUUGCUAACUCUUCCUAAUCCGCAAACGCUCAACAAAGCUAUUAGCAAAGCUGUGAAGUGCGAUAACCACCUAUUCCAAUGUCGCCAAGACCAACACUCAAGACAACAUAUAGUUCGUCACGUCCCAACUAUAUCGACAAGCAAUGUGAAUUCACAUUUAGAGGUAGAAGACAUGCAAAUUGAUGCGGUACGUGUCAAAUCCCUUACUCUACAAGAAAAAAAGCGGCGUAUAGAGGAAGGUCUAUGCUUAUAUUGUAGUGAAGAAGGCCACAAAGUUGGAAACUGCUACAAGAAGCAAAAUUGACGCAUUGUCAGGACCAGGGGUAUGUUUGUUCAGGAAAACGAGGAUGCCCAGCCACAAUAGGAACCAUGCGGCUAAACAGUGAAAUAUCGCAACAACAAUCAAGUUCCUUUCUUUCCGCUCAACCUGCCCUUUAUUUUACAAUCCUUUUGUUUAUUGGCCUUCAAAAACUGAGAACCUUAGCAUUAUUAGAUUCAGGAGCAUUUACUUGUUUCUUAGACGAAGAAUUUGUGAAGCGUCAUAAGAUCCCUUUAGUAUAAAAAUCCAAACCUGUUCACGUUGAGGUCAUAGAUGGAUGACCUUUAUUGUUUGGUAGUGUCACCCAUGAAUCAGAACCUAUAGAAGUGACGUUUAAGGGCCAUAGUAGCCAUAUUAUUUUUAAUAUUAUUUGAACCCCAUCAAAUCCUAUUAUUCUUGGUCUUUCCUGGUUGGAAAAGCAUAACCCAUCCAUAGAUUGGAGGUUGCAGAAGAUGACCUUUCCUACAAAAUCACCCAAGAGCAAGCCUAGUAGAAAACCCCGAAUAGAGAAAUUCUUAUUCAUUGGAACAAGAGCAUUUAUAAGAUCAUCCAAGGAAGGCACAUCAUUUAUCAUUUAUGUGGCUCCAACUAUCAGAGAGAAGAUCUCGACAACAAGUAUAUCGGAGCAAUAUAAGGAUUUUAAAGACGUGUUUCAAAAGAAGAAUGCCGACAUGCUACCGGAACAUCGACCAUAUGAUUGCGCCAUAGACUUGCAGGAAGGAGCACAAUCGUGUUUUGGCCUAAUCUAUAAUCUAUCGCAGAUGGAGUUGGCGGAGUUGCGGAAGUACAUCGACGAGAAUCUAGCCAAGAACUUCAUCCGUCAUUCAAAAUCGUCAACUGGAGCACCCAUCUUAUUUGUGAAGAAGAAAGAUGGCUCGUUGCGGAUGUGCAUGGACUAUCGAGGCCUCAAUAAGAUAACAAAGAAGAAUCGUUACCUGUUAUCCUUGAUUUCUGGUCUCUUAGAACAACUUGGACGUACAAGGAUCUUUACAAAAAUUGAUCUAAGGAGAGCUUACAACCUCGUACGAAUCAAUGAAGGAGAUGAGUGGAAGACAGCGUUUCGUACAAGCUAUGGCCAUUUUGAAUAUAAUGUCAUGCCCUUUGGUCUUACCAAUACUCAAGCAGUCUUCCAACAUAUGUUGAAUGUCAUUUUUCGAGAGUACCUUGACAAUUUUGCUGUCAUCUACUUAGAUGAUAUUAUGAUAUUCUCCAUAAACGAGGAAGAGCAUGAAAAGCACAUUCGUUUGGUCUUGGAGAAACUACGCAAGCGAGGAUUAUAUGCCAAGUUGGAGAAGUGUUUAUUUUACCAAAUGGAGAUGGAAUUUUUGGGGUUCGUUGAGACUACGGAAGGCUUGAAGAUGGACCCCAAGAAGGUGGAAGCAAUCGUAUCCUGGGAGGUUCCGAAGACGGUUAGAGACGUACAAUGCUUUCUUGGCUUUGCUAACUUCUAUCGAAUCUUCAUCAAGAAUUACUCUCAAGUUGCUGCUCUGCUCACUUGAUUGACAUGCAAGGAUAAGCUAGAAUGGGGACCUCUAGUGGAGAAGGCGUUUCAAGUCCUGAAGACAGUAUUUACUACGGCUCCGAUCUUGGUACAUCCAGACUUUACAAAGGCCUUCUAUUUAGAAACUGAUGCUCCGGAUUUUACUUAGGAAGUUGUACUUUCACAAAUGGAAGAAGACAAGAAGCUCCAUCUGGUUGCAUUUUAUUCUCGAAAGUUCUCUGCUGCUGAAAUCAAUUAUGAUAUCCACGAUAAAAAAACUUCUUGCUAUAGUAGAUUCUUUCCAAGAAUGGCGUCACUUUCUUGAAGGAGCUGCACAUCCAAUGACCAUAUACACUGAUCACAAGAAUUUGGAGUAUUUCAUGUCGGCUCGAGUUCUAAAUUGAUGUCAAGCUCGGUGGAGUAUGUUCCUAUGUAGAUUCGAUUUUGUUAUCACUUAUCGACUUGGAAAGCAGCAAGGACUAUCCAAUGCCUUAUCGAGGAGAUUGUAUCUUAUACCAAAGGCUAGAAAAGCAGCAUUUGAUCAACAAUAUAUGACGUUGUUGAACCAGAGCAAUUUCGGCUUUGCGCUACUAUUGUGCCAAUUGAUGCUGACUUCUUGAACCAAGUACGUGCCGUAACCAUUGAAGAUCUAGUAGCCAUUAAUAUCAAGCAGCAUACCAAUGACGACAAGUUCAAGGUGGAGGGAGAUCUUUUAUACUUUGAGGAGCAGUUGUAUAUUCCAAAAGGACUAGCAUGACUCCGAGUUCUUCAAUCUUGCCAUGAUUUUCUAGCUACGAGACAUUUUAGAUUCAACAAGACCUUGGAGCUUAUUUCUCAAGAUUUUUGGUGGCUCCAAAUAUGGAAGGAUAUAAAAGAUUUUGUCUUCUCCUGCGAUAUUUGUUCAAGAUCUAAGAAUCCUCGACAUUGCCCUUAUGGACUUCUACACCCAUUGUCGAUUCCACGUCGACCAUGGUCUUUAGUUUCCAUGGACUUCAUCACGGACCUGCCAUCAUCGAACUCAUUCGACAACAUCUUUGUCGUAGUAGAUCGACUUACAAAGAUGACACACUUUGUUCCUUGCAAGAAGACAUCGUUCAGUGUAAUCACAGCGAGGCUCUUUCUCAAUAAUAAGUAUCAUUAUCGUGGACUACCAAAUGAUAUCGUAUCAGAUCGAGGAACGCAGUUUGUAUCAAAGUUUUGGAGAUCUCUUUUUGUGAUACUGAAGGUGGAUAUCAAGCUUUCUUCGGCUUUCCAUCCUCAAACUGACGGCCAAACGGAACGGGUGAACCAAGUCUUGGAACAAUACUUACGAUGCAGCAUCAACUAUCAGUAAGACGAUUGGACCGCAUAUCUAUAGCUAGCCGAGUUUGCAUAUAACAACAUCCUCCAUGCGUCGACUCAAUACACACCAUUCUUUGCAAACUAUGGGUAUCAUUUUAAGCUUGAUUUAUUGAGUCUGUCAACAAAUAACAAUCCAUCAGCUGAAGGACUUGCGAAGCAACUAUCAGAGCUUCAAACUACGUUGAAGCUUCAAUUACAAUCCGCUCAAGAAUCCUACAAGGCAUCUGCAGAUAGAUUUUGGAAUCAAGCACCUACUUUCAAAAUUAGAGAUAAAGCAUGGCUUCUUCGAUGGAAUAUUAAGAUCAAGCGACCAUGUGAUAAGUUGGACUAUCGAAGAUUGGGACCAUUUAUCAUCCAAAAGCAAAUCAAUCUAGUGGCGUACCAUCUAGAAUUACCGGCUUCUAUGAAGGUACAUCCAGUCUUUCAUGUUUCUCUGUUGGAGCCUUAUCGAGAGUCGUCCUUUCUUGGAAGAGUGCAAUGUUCGCCACCUAGUAUUGAGAUCGAGAACCACGAGGAAUACGAGGUCGAAAAGGUGCUGGAUUCACGGCAAAGGUGGGGUAAGUUGGAGUAUCUUGUUCAUUGGUGCGGCUACAACAUUAAUGAGCGAACGUGGGAACCAGCUGAAAAUCUUGCCAAUGUGCCACAAAAAGUACAGGAGUUUUAUCAACAACAUUCUCCUAAACCUAAGUCGGUUCGACGAUAGCUUCCUUCUGAAGCUUGUUCACCUAAGAAUAUAAGAAAGGGGGAGAGCAUGACCAAAACUCGUAGUUGAUAAAGUAGAAUUUUUUCAAUAGCCUUCUGAUAUGGAUAGCCAAGAGAUAGAUACUAUACCAAUCAGAUUAUCUCAAUUGACUAGCUCACAAAGGCGACCCCGAGAUGAAGGACCGCCUAUACCACGACGACAAUAGAGGAUAUCGAGUAACCGAUUACUGGUGAUUGUAUUUGAGUUCGAGUCUACUUACGAUGGUCAGCCAGAAGGCGUGUUUGCAGGACAAUUUUACAAUGAGGACACAGAAGUUCAUGCUUGGCCAGAAUUUGAAGGUGUGGGCCACUACCGUUGGCUUUAAGGGCCGAUGAACCACUUGCCUCGUGAACAACAGUUGGAGUUCAUAGCAGACGUUAUGCGACAGAUCUUCAUUUUCUUGUUUUGGUACUGAUUAACAAUAAUAUUGCUUCUCAGAGACCUCGAAGCUAAAUGAGGGGGUGAUGUUAGAGACAUAGUCCUUAGAACCUUCUAGAAGCAAGUCUCUGGAACCUUCUAGAAGCUUCUUAGUUGGUAGAAGUUGCUUGAGAAGCUUCCUAGUUGGUGGAAGUCGCUUGAGAAGCUUCCUAGUUGGUGGAAGUCGCUUGAGAAGCUUCCUAGUUGGUAGAAGUUACUUGAGAAGCUUCCUAAAUAGGAAUAUAUAUUGGAAUCGAGGCUGAAGAGUUCUUCAGUCUCGACAACACAUCUCUUGGAGCUCUAGCUCACCUCUCUGGUGUUCUUCUUGUAUUCAUCUGAUUAAUCUAGUUCUUGCCAGUUCUUCUUGAACUUCUUGUUAGAUCUCGAGCUUGUAUUUCUGUGUCCGUGACACUUAUUCUUCAAAUAAUUUAACUUAAAAGCAAUAUGAUAGUAUAAUUAUGUAGAUUUUUUUUUUCUUUUUCCUCAAAUACCAUGAAAAUAUUGUUUCUUUGAGUUUCUAUUAGGUCAAUUUUAAGGAGUAGUUUUUAAUUGAAAAAAUACCACGUUUAUAAUUUCUAAAAUUCAUGAUUUAAAAUUUAUAAAAAUUUACAAAUAAAAAGGUAUAUAUUUUUAAAAUUUUCAAAAUCAAGGUAUAAGGUAAUAUAUUUAGACUUUUGAUAAAAAGUUGGUUUGAUCUUUUUUAUGGUAUUUUCUUUUAUUAAAUUACAUCUAAAAGAAACUUUUAUUUGCCAAGUAAAAGACUUUAGUAUGACUUCUAAAUUAUGGCCUUUAGAAUAGAGAUUUAAGAUAUAGAUAUCUUUUAAGACUAAGAUAAUAUAAUAGAUGUAUUGACAAUAUUGUAGAUAACCAUAUUUUAAUCUUGAUAUAAAUUGGCUUUCAAACAUGUUAUAAUCAUUGAUUUUAUGUGUUAUUAAAUUUAAUAAAAUAAUAUUGUGGCUACAAAAGUUACUUUUUAUACAAAUUAAAGCUAUGAUAUUAUAAAAUAAAUUACAUUUCAUGAGACGUUUCUAUUGACUUUAAUGUUAAUUCAAUGUAAUUAGUGAACAAUCUACUCAUUUUAUAAUAUAUGUGUAUACAAGUUGGAAGAUACAAUGCCUUGGUACACAAUUUCUUUAUCAUAGUAUCCUACAUAAAUAAAAAUAUCAAAUUACAAAAAUUUAAAAUUUAAAAUUUACUAUUAUAGUUUUUUAAAGAUUUAGUCCAUGCAAACCAUUAGAUUAAUUUCAACAUCAUUAUAUUAUAUUAUUAAAAAAUCAUUUUAAUUUAUUAUGUAAUACAUAAAUAUAUUAUUAUUUUAUUUAUCAAUUAAAUGCUUAAAUUUUAUAUUUUUCUUAAUUUAUAUCAAAAAUAAUGAUUUUUUAAUUGCUUGGUUUGUUAAUUUAGACAAAAAUAGACUAUAUUUUGUAAUUAAAAUUAAAAAUUUUAGAUAUUCAUGAAUAAAUUUUAAUAUUAUAUUUUUUGUUUAAAUUUAUUCUGAAUAAUUAAUAAUAUCUAAAUUUGAUUUUUGUUUUUAUUUUUUAUUUUUUAAAUAAAUAUUGUACAAAUCAACUAUUUUAUGCUUGUUAUACUAUAAGUUAGAUGUAUGAGAAAAUUAUUGUUUUUAUGUUUUUUUGUUUUGUUUUGUUUUUUUUUUUAUGUAUCAUUAUUGGAAAAUAGUAGUAAAAUAAUGUAAAUUAUAAUUAAUUAAUUUAGAAAUUGUAUUAGUGCACUCAUGGACAUCAUAUAUUAUUUUUAAAAUAAUAUUUUUUAAGAAAUAAUACUUUUAUUAUAUAUAUUAUUAUCUUAUAUAUAUAAUUUAAAAGUAGUGCAUUAAAUCAUAUAGGAAUUACAAUAUUUUAAAAUUCUUUAACUUAUUUCAUACACAACAAGAAACUUAUUGAUGAUGGAACUACUAUCUAUUUAAUAAUGAAAAUAAGUACCAUACAAAGAAAAAAAAUUAUAAAUUUAAUUUUUUAAUUAAGAAUAAAUAGAAAAAAGAAAAAUAAAAACAUAAUCUCCUAACUUAGAAAAUGAAAAAAUAUCAGUCUUGGUAUAUGGUUCUUUGCUCAACAUUUUAUGACAAAUUCUUGACGGUUGUUUAAAAUAAUAAUCUAUAACUUCAAUACACUCAUUGUCAUGACAAGAAGGAUUGGUGUCACAUCCUUUUACAAUUAUUGCGUAUAUUUUGUUCCACUGUUAGCAAUAGUAUCAAUCCAAUUUUGGUUCUCAACAUAUUUUGAUACUUCAUUUAGACUAUUAGGAAACAAAUGGUGCUAUUAUUAUUAAAUUAAAUUGUGAGAAAAACAACAUUGUCUAGAUUGCAAUGUUAAGUUCAACCUUCACAUACAAAUUAACAAGUACAAUUUUGGAAAACUGCCAACAAAACUCCAAUCGUCAGAAGAGUAAAAACACUUCAAGGGAUUUCAAAGUCACAUAGCUUGCAAAUCUAGAGUCUGUAAGAAGAGACCCAAGUCACCAAGAAUAGCAAUUGACAUCAAUGACCAUCGUAUUUGAUGCAAAAUGUCAAAGACCAGAAGAGUGAACGAAUUGCUCUUAUUCAGGAAUUGGAAAAGAUUCAGGGAAUAUGACGUCCAGUUGUACAGCAUUGAAAAUACAUACAGAGCCAUACGGUACCGUAUGAGAUGAGCCCCCAAAAAGAUCCAGGAAGUCUAUUCGGGGAACCGACAGAGGCAAGCAAGCAGGCAAGCAAGAGUGGGCUUUUCUGGAAACCUAGGGUUAGGGUUCCGGCUGGGCUUCCACGAGCUUCCUCAGGCUUCGACGCUCUUCGCAGCCGUCGAUACAAAAGCCUCUUGACUUCCUUUCCUCAGCAUUCUCGUUCUUCAGAUCGUCGAGAUACCGUGUGUGCGUUCGGGUAGUUCUCGGAGGAUUGCGACUGUAGGGAUUGUGUCUUCGCGAAGAGUGAUUUACAGCGAGCGCAGUCCGCUAUGGCCGGCAAGGGCGAGGGUCCUGCCAUCGGUAUUGAUUUAGGUACCACGUACAGUUGCGUGGGAGUAUGGCAGCAUGACCGCGUUGAGAUCAUCGCUAACGAUCAGGGGAACAGGACCACCCCCAGUUAUGUCGCAUUCACCGACACGGAGCGACUCAUUGGGGACGCCGCUAAGAAUCAGGUGGCAAUGAACCCCACCAACACCGUGUUUGGUGAGUUUUUCUUUACUCAGGUUUAUCACAAUUUUCCUCUCCUCUUAUGGACGUUCAAUGAUUGGUCUGUUGGCACUGCUAGGGAAUAUCUUAUGCGGAGUGUCUAAACAGUUGGAACUACUAGCUUUGUGAUGAAUGUGUUGAGUAUUUUUCAAUUUAUUUUUGACUGCUGGUCAAGUACUAUAGUGCAUGCUUUGCCACGUGUGUCUUGGCACUUGUGCGUUGGUGUUGAGUAUUGCAUGCGGCUUCUGUACUGAGAUAUCGUGUGUACGGGUUCCAUCAUGGGAACAUUCGUCGUAAGCUCAGAUGGAUGUGACUGGAAAUUGUUCUUUCCUUGCGUUUUUCUGUCUGUACGUGAAUGUGUGGCAUGUUUGAGCCAAUCAUCCUUUGAUUUUUGUGUCCAGGAUUUUCUCUGAAUCAGUUGAAGUUCGCUCACUCUUAUCAGCACUAAGUUUUGGUUGCCUGAUCUUUUACAUUCUUUGUGUUACAGAUGCUAAAAGGCUGAUUGGAAGGCGUUUUAGCGAUGCAUCUGUUCAAAGUGACAUGAAGUUAUGGCCAUUCAAGAUUACUCCUGGACCGGGAGAGAAGCCCAUGAUCAGUGUACAGUACAAGGGAGAAGAAAAAACUUUCGCUGCUGAGGAGGUUUCUUCUAUGGUGCUCAUCAAGAUGAAAGAGAUCGCCGAGGCUUACCUAGGAUCCACUGUGAAAAAUGCCGUGGUGACUGUGCCUGCUUACUUCAAUGACUCGCAGAGACAAGCAACUAAGGAUGCCGGAGUCAUUGCCGGUUUGAACGUUCUUCGUAUCAUCAAUGAGCCUACCGCUGCUGCAAUUGCUUACGGAUUGGAUAAGAAGGCAACUUCUGUAGGAGAGAAGAAUGUAUUAAUCUUCGAUCUAGGAGGCGGUACUUUCGAUGUGUCUAUACUGACCAUCGAGGAAGGUAUCUUCGAGGUUAAGGCCACUGCCGGAGAUACCCACUUGGGCGGGGAGGACUUUGACAACAGGAUGGUGAACCACUUCGUUCAGGAGUUCAAGCGUAAGUACAAGAAGGAUAUCAGCAGCAACCCCCGUGCCCUGAGGAGGCUGAGGACCGCCGCCGAGAGGGCAAAGAGGACACUGUCAUCGACUGCUCAAACCACCAUCGAGAUCGAUUCUCUGUACGAGGGUGUAGACUUCUACUCCACCAUCACCCGUGCUCGAUUUGAGGAAUUGAACAUGGACAUGUUCAGGAAGUGCAUGGAGCCAGUGGAGAAGUCCUUGAGAGACGCUAAGAUGGACAAGUCCUCCAUCCAUGAUGUCGUGUUGGUAGGGGGAUCCACCCGUAUUCCUAAGGUGCAGCAGCUGCUUCAGGACUUCUUCAACGGCAAGGAGUUGUGCAAAUCCAUCAAUCCCGACGAAGCCGUGGCUUACGGUGCCGCUGUCCAGGCAGCUAUAUUAUCUGGAGAGGGUAACGAGAAGGUCCAGGACUUGCUAUUGCUGGAUGUCACUCCAUUGUCCCUAGGACUUGAGACGGCCGGGGGUGUGAUGACAGUAUUGAUCGCGAGGAACACGACAAUUCCCACCAAGAAGGAGCAGGUAUUUUCAACCUACUCAGACAACCAGCCCGGAGUGCUGAUUCAGGUUUAUGAGGGUGAGAGGGCUAGGACGAGGGACAACAAUCUGCUCGGUAAGUUCGAGCUUUCCGGGAUUCCCCCUGCCCCCCGUGGUGUGCCACAGAUUACCGUGUGCUUCGAUAUAGAUGCAAACGGUAUCUUAAACGUGUCUGCCGAGGACAAGACGACGGGACAAAAGAACAAGAUCACCAUCACCAACGACAAGGGUCGUCUAUCAAAGGACGAAAUUGAGAAGAUGGUUCAGGAGGCUGAAAAGUACAAGUCUGAAGAUGAAGACCACAAGAAGAAGAUUGAGGCAAAGAAUGGGCUCGAGAACUACGCCUACAACAUGAGGAAUACUAUCAAGGAUGAGAAGAUUGCAUCCAACUUGGACGCAGCUGAUAAGAAGAAGAUUGAGGACGCAGUUGAGGCUGCUAUCCAGUGGUUGGACCAAAACCAACUUGCGGAGAGCGAUGAGUUCGAAGACAAGAUGAAGGAAUUGGAGGGUGUGUGCAACCCCAUCAUUGCCCGCAUGUACCAGGGUGGCGCUGGAGGUGGUGAGGGUGCCGCCCCAUCAUAUGGAGGAACCGACUCUCCACCAUCUGGCGCGGGACCCAAGAUCGAGGAGGUGGACUAAAAUUUCUAGUUCACCAUUCUGUAUCAGCUGGUAGGCAUAGAUGAGAAAAGUGCUGUCUACAAUCUGUACCUUUGCAUCAAAGUCGACCCUGUCUCCAGUUGUUGCGGUUCGUCUAGAUGCGUAUAUAAGAUUCAUUCUUCUUUGGUAUAUUCCCGGUCAAGUCUUAUGAUCCGAGCCUCAUGCUAACAGUUAUGCUUUUUCCUGCUUGAAAUUUGUACACGUAAAGCUCGUGUCAUAAGACUACUUGUUGACGCAUCCAUUAAUAAUCUGCACGCAGCAUCAGAACCCCAAUGGAAUCAUACCCUUGCUUUGCCCCUCGGAGAGUUUCACUUAAACAUGUCAAGUGAAUUGUUUAUCUGAAGCUAUCUCUACACUACAUUGCGGGAGACAAAUUAAUGACUUAUUUUUACGUAGUGCACACAGUGCAUCAACAAUAUCCAAUAUUCCUCAUCAUUCUCAGCAUGAGCGAAAUGAGACGAGAUCUGCUACACAUUUCAUGUAAACAUCGAGACUCUGCGGAGUUCCACACCAUUCGCAAAAGCGUAGACAAUAUUCUACAAUAUCUUGCAAAACAACUUUCACUUCGUACUUUUGAGAGAACCAAAAUGUUCUAUCAACGAGUAUAUUAUUAACAUAUGUGGUCCUAUAAUCCAAAUGUGUACAUCUACGUAUGCGUGUCCCUCAUACUGAUUAUCAACAUAUAUUAAAAACUGAAGUACAUUCAAUUAAUAGAAUUGAUGUAUCUCACCAUCAUAUCAAAAAAUAACCUAUUCACCUACUUCGAAAUAAUGUAACACUCAGAAUUUUCAAUUGUAUGCCUUUUAAGUUUUAAUGUUUCGAAAUGUUGAAUUAUUUUGAAAUGCUUUCUCAUACACUUACUAAUUUAUAUUUUUACCUAAAAUUACACAAUAAUUUGAUCUUUAUCCAGCCUUUAGAAUUACAUCAUUAUGUUCAGAAAUCUCUUUGGAUGGUAAUGUUGUGCUAUGAAUAUGCUAUUAGAACUUGAACAUACUAUUAUGAAAAUAAAAUUGGUAAAAUUAAUGUAAUAGGAAUGUCAAUUUCAAUUGUGUCUAUAACUAUGAUGAUAUAUAUAUAUAUAUAUAUAUAUAUGCACAUGUAUUAGUAUUUUUUUUUUUAUCAGUUUGUAUAUAGUAAUAAGUUUCAAAAUUUAGAUUGAUUUAUCAAAAUUGUAGAAGUACUAAUAAUAGAUUUUAAAACUAUUUUAUAAUAGUAAAAGUUGUAUAUAAUUGAAAUCAUAUAAAAAGUCGUUUUCUUAUAAUAUUUGUAGAAUAUUUAAUUAAAACGAAAAUCAGAUUAUGAUAAAAAUGUGUUAUAAGUUUUGUGUGUUAUAAUGCAAUAGUAAAACCUGAUGAUAAUGAAUAUGUUCAAAAGAUGUCUAUGUUUAAUAUACACAUACUAAUUAAAAAUAUCAAAAUCUAUUUUAUAUUAUUCAAAGACUAUUUUAAAAAAACAAAGCUUAGAAAAUAUAAUAUCAAAAUCUAUUUUAUAUUAUUCAAAGACUAUUUAAAAAGAAAACAAAGCUUAGAAAAUAUAAUUUGAUCAUUCAAUAAACUUAUAGUUACUAUAGUUUUAAUUUUUAAAUUUAUACUAAUGUGAUAAUAAUGCAAUAUAUAUUUUUAUUGAUAUUUUUUACAAAUUAAUGGAUGAUCAAUUUUUAAUAUAUACAUAAUUUUUAAUAAUUUUUAAUAAUUUUUAGUAUUUAUUUAAUAAUAAUAAUAAUAAUAAUAAUUUUCUUUCAUACAAAAACAAUCAUCUAUGGAUAAAAUUAGGUCUAAAUGAAGUUGGAUUAGGAAUUGAAUAAAUUUAGGAAUUGGAUGAAUUAGGAUUUCAAUGAAUUUAAUUAAUACAUGUAUAGGUGUUGUGUAGGUUUUUUUAGUGAUGAAUGGAAUUAAUUAAAAAAGCUCAAAGAAUCAAUUAAUAAGAACUUAAAAGAAUAGCUACAUAUAAUUAAAAUAUAAAAUAAUUAAUUGUUGUGAAUUAGAGUAAACUACCAACUAGUAGGGAUUUAUCUUAGUUUAUGUACAAACUAACAAAUCUUUCUUAUAGAUUUGCAACAAAAUUCAUAUUUGUUUUUAAUAUGUAAAUAUUUUUAAUUUUUAUUUACUUAUUUGUUUUCACAAAACCUAGAGUCUUUAAAAAUAACACUAGUUUUGCAAAGUUUUCACAAAGACUUUAUCCAUUCAAAUCUCCUCAAACCAAUGUUCAAAGAAAGCCUAUCAAUUUUGCUCUCUAAACUUACUCUUUAAUUAAACCAAAAACCCUAUAAUUGCAAUGAGCGCUCAAUUAUCCCAGACAUAUAUAUUUACUCUAAUAAUUAUCUAUAUGAUUAGGUAGAAGUAGAUAAAAAUAGUUUAAUUUUAUAAUAUCUUCUAGAAUAGCAUCUUAUAAGUUUUAUAGAUAUGAUUUUGACUUUAUACAUAUUUAUAGUUGACUUUUAGGUUAGAAACUUGGUCAAUAAGUUAGCCAAGUAUCACACAUAUAAAUAGCUUGUGGAACAAGCUAACUAUGUAGUGCACACAUAGAAAACUUACCUUGUAAGUUAAGACAUGUGGCUUGCAAAGUCAACUCAUGUUGGAGAUUCUAUAGAACAUUGCCAUGUAACUCCUAGAUAGAUAGUAUAUAUAGAAGCAAGAGUGAAGCUUUCUUCAUUCUUAUCAAUUUCUUUUUUCCUCUAGUUUAGAUUCAAGAGUCUUUAGUUUUCUUGUCUUUUGGCAAUAGCCAUUCUAGUUUGCUUUUAAUAUAUAUAUUUCUUUAUUUUUAUUUUAUCAUACUUCUUUGAUAAAAAUCUCACUUGAUUAUUUACUUUUAUUAGAUUUUUUUCCUUGAUAAAUUGAUAAGAGGAUACUUUCAAUAUUAGAGCUUUUUCUUUUCUUGAUUAAGAAUAGAUUACUUCUUUUUUUUGAUAAGACAUAUGCAUAUUUGAAGUUGUAGAGUACUCGCUUUUAAAUUGAUAUUGUUCUUAGUAUAUUCUAUAUUUUGAAGUUCUCUCUUCUAUUUGUCUUGAAUGAUAUUAGACAUCUUCUCUUUUCUAAAUAUUAUCAUGGUAGAGCUUCUUAAAAUAAAGAAUAUAAUGAUACAAAUGCAAGAGUAAUUGAUGGAGUUAAUGCUUACAGUGCAUUAAUUCAAUUUACCACCACAAGGAAAAAUAAUAUAGAGAUGAUUAGAGCUCCUUUAACAUCUCUAUCAAAUCAUGUUUCUUUUCCUAAAGUUAAACAUCCUUCCAGUAUUAUAGAAUUAAAGGUUACAUUGUAUGAGAAGCUUGAUGGCAUAAGAUGCAAGUUUCAAGAAUUUAUCAAUCAAAUAUAACUUGUGAUUGAACUUCAACUCUAAAGCUAUUAAACUCUAGGAUUACAAGUUGGAUUCAUUGAUACACUUCUUUCAAGUUUAAUAUUAUCAUGUUUUUUUAUCUCAUUUUGAACAAUGAGAUUUAAUAUUAGAUAAUUUAGAUAUUUUUUUGAUAGAAUUUCGAUCCACGUAUAGAAAACAUAAUGCAAUUCAUGUUGUAAUGAAUAAGAUCGUUAUUUUGUAAUAAAACAAUCAAUUAAUAAUGUUAUUUGCUUCAUAAUUUUGACAAUUUGCAAUUGAUAUUAAAUAGAAUGAUGCUGCACUUGUUAGCCAAUUUUUUUAUAAAUUACAAUAUGAGAUAAAAAAACAUUGAAUUAAGGCAUUGACUUUGUUGUAAAUUGUGACAAUCAAUUUUUUAAAUUUUGAUCUAAGAGUUGUACAAGUACACAUCAACGUUGUCGUAUUAUGUGUAUUCUUGCUUGAGAAUACCUUGGGCACUUAGCUAAGGAAGAUAAGUAAUAAUGUAACAAUAAUUCUAUCAAGUCUAAUAGAACCAUAAAUAAACUUCAAGUAAUUUCUAAUAAUCCAAUCAAACUUAAACUAUCCAAAUAAAUUUCAAAUAAAUUAUAAAAAAAAUUAAAAAUAUCAAAGAAAAAUUAAAAAUUAAAAAUUUAAUGUAAUUCUAAUUAAAAUCCUAAUUUAAUCUUAAUCAAAUCUUAAGUCAAUUCUAAGUGAAAUCUUAAUUGAACCUUAACCAAAAUUCUAAAUCAAAUUCUAAUGAAAUCUUAAUGAAAUUCUAAACCCUAGAAAAAUUCUAGAUAAAUUCUAAAUCAAAUCCUAAAUAAAUCUUAAUCUUAAUCAAAUCUUAGACCAAAUUUUAAAUCAAAUCCUAAUCAAAUUCUAGAUCUUAAACAAACUCUUAAUAAAUCUUAUAAUAGAUUGGAAUCUCAACAAUUAGUAAUAAAACCAUUGAUAUCAAUUCAAAAUUAUCAUAAUUUUUGAAUAUUUUAAGUAAAAAGAAAUAAAAAAAUGAUGAAAUCAAUUACACUUACUAAUUGAAAGAAAUAAAAAGUAAUCCAAUUAGGUAUUGGACAACUUCCUACUCCAACCUAAAUGCUCAACUUCCAGCACUAAUAUUUCCUUUAUGAAUUAUUGAAUUGCUUUUAAAUUUCAUCUAAAUAUUGAAAAUCAAGUCUAAUAUUCAUAUAAAAAUAUUUCACUUCAAUCCAAUCAAAAAAAUUCUAAAGAUCUUAGAAAUACUUACUAAUCCUUAAAUUCCAAUUUUUGAGACUUCAAGCCACAAUAUUAUCUCAAAUUCCAAAUUUAUGUGUUGAUUAUCAAAGACUCAAUAAAUUCACCAUCAAUAAUAGGUACCUACUACUUUUGAUAUCUAGAUUUAUUGAUCAAUUGAAUCAAGUUAAGAUCUAUACAAAAAUAGAUCUACAAGGAACAUAUAAUCUACUAUGCAUCAAAUAAGAAAAUGAAUAGAAGAUUAUAUUUUAAACUUGGUAUGAAUAUUUUGAAUACAUUAUAAUAUAUUAUCUUAGAUAUAUAUGUUUUGUGGAAAUUAUCGAUUAUUAUUGGAUCUUCAUGAAGAGCUUCAUUCAAAUUGCAACUCUACUUAUAUGUUUGACUUAUAAAGACAAAAUUUAAUGAAAUCAAGAGGCAAAAGUAACAUUUGAAGCUUUGAAGUCAACCUUUAUUUUUACACCAAUCUUAUAUUAUGUCAAAUUUUCAUAGCCAUUCUUUGUAGAAACAGAUAUAGUAUCAAAUUUUAUUUUGAAUGUUGUAUUGUCACAAAAGGGAAUAGAUGAUAAACUUCACCCAAUAGCUUUUUAUUGAAGAAAUUUUUUAAUAGCAAAGAUGAACUAUGAGAUUCACAACAAAGAAAUUUUUGGAAUUGUGGAUUUAUUUCAAUAAUAGUGCUAUUAUGUAUAAGAUGCUUUUAAUCCAUCACUAUUUAUAUGGACUACAAGGAUCUUAAAUAUUUUAUAUCAUCUUAUGUUUUGAAUUUUUGCCAAGUCCAUUGGAACAUGUCUUUGUCAAUAUUUGAUUUCAAGAUUACUUAUCAAUCCAAAAACAACAAAGUUUAUUACACGCCUUUUCUAGAUGUUUUUAUUUUAUAUCAAAUAAAAGAAAUACAUCUUUUGAUAAAAAAAAAAUAGUUCUCUUGAAGUUGGAUAAUUUUUAUCUUUGAACAAUAAAAUAAAUAUUGAUUAUUGGUUCAACCUUUGUCAAAUAAAUUUGAUCAAGUAUAUUUAAAAAAAAAAGAAUAUUUAUAUAUUUCAAAAGGAGAAGAAUAUUUACAUGUUUUUUAAGCAUGUUAUGAUUUUCUAUCCAUUCAAUACUUAUAUUACAAUAAGACUUUUUAGCUUAUAUUUAGAGAUUUUUAGUAGUUUUAAAUGUAGAAGGGAGUGAAAGACUUUGUCUAAUCAUAUGACAUUUGUUCUAUGUCAAAAACUCCUUGCUAUGGAUCUUAUGAACUUCUUUGAUCAUUGAACAUAACCAAAUAACUAUGAUCUUUUAUUUCUAUGGAUUUUUUCACAGUGGUAUAUGGCAUGAUUUUCUAUUUAAGAAUACAUUAAGUACUUAGCUAUAGAGAAUUUGGUUUUAAUGUAUUGGAUAAGUUUCAAUAAGUGAUUUUAUUCUUAUUAUUUUAAGGCCAACAAGAUACAAUAGUAUCAAAAGAUAUUCUAUUAUUAUAAUCUUUUUGUAUUUAAGAAGAUUUAUACAUAAGGCUUUGUAAAUCAUUUAAAAAUACCCUAAAAUCCUUUGAUAUACCAAAUUAUAAUUAACUAUUAGCCGAUAAGUUUGAUUUUCCAAAAGCUUAAAGAAAAUCCAUAAUCCUCUUACAAAUAUCCAUCUUUAUGUCAUAAUUUUUUCAUAGCUCUAUAUCUCUAUGAAUCAUCAAAUUAACUCACUUAGUAUUUUAGGAUAAAAAUAUGCAUUUAAAAUACUUUAAAUCACAAUAUAUAGUGAGUAGUAUAGAAAUCCUCAAAAAAAUAGAAAAUUAAAAUAUUAGUAGUGGAAAUGGAGUCUUAAUAAGUUUUCGAGGUAAUUAUCUUUGUUGGUUUAGUAUUUUUAUUCAUUACUGAAUAUUAAGGAUUAUUAUUAAGACCAAUAUUAGUCUUCUAUCUAUGUGUACUACUUAUAAAAAUUAUAAAUUUUAGUAAUUAGAAGAAGCAUGAAAAAGAAUCUCAUAUCAUUUUAAUUAUUGAUAUAAAAAAUAGGAUUUAUAGUGAAUUUAAAUUAAUUUUAUUAUUAUAAAAAAUUUACCAUGGUAGAAAAAUAUAGCCAUAGAUGGAUAUUAGUAUUAUAAAAAUAUUAUAAAAAAAAUUUAAAAUUUAUUUAGAAUUUAUUUAGAAUUUUUUAAGAAUUUUUAGAGUAAUUUUCAAGAUCUUAGUAAAAAUGAGUUUUACCAUUUUGGGAGCCUCUAUGAAAAAAUAAAGCAAGAUUUGAAGGCCACACAAGGUUCCUAUGCUGAUUGGGUGAUUUUGAAUACCAUAAUGAGGUGUCACGAAUCUAGAAUGUUGACUGAAAACAAGAAACUUAAGAAGAAUUGGCAAGAACUAGAUUAAUCAGAUGAGUACAAGAACAACACUAGAGAGAUGAGUUAGAGCUCCAAGAGGUGUGUUGUCGAGACUGAGGAUCCCCUUAGUCUCAGCUCCUAUAUAUACUACGAGUUAGGAAGCUUCUCAAGCAGCUUCCACAAACUACAAAGCUUCUCAAGAAUCUUCUAAAAUCUUCUACAACUUUCUAGUAUAUGUUCUUGACAUCACUCCCCUCCUUUUAGCUUUGAGGUCUCAGAGAAGCACUCCUAUUACAAGUUAGUACCAACAUAAGAAGUUGAAAAUUUGUUGCAUAGUGUCUACAAUAUAUUCCAAUUAUUGUUCAUGCGGCAAGUAGUUCAUUGAUCCUUGUAACCAACGAUAGUGUCCUACACCUUUGAUUUUGAACUAAGCAUGAACUUUUGUGUCUUCAUUGUGAAAAUGCCCUACAAACACUCCUUCAAGAAGAUCACCAUAGGUAAGUUCUACCUCAAACACAA